GUGCUGGCUUUGGAAGCACAUAUACUAAAAUUGGAAUGUUACAGACAGGAUUAGCACAGCCCCUGUGCAAGAAUAACAUGCAAAUUAGUGAAGCAUUCCAUGUUUUU
ensembl:snRNA U6 U6 spliceosomal RNA